AGAAAAGUAGCCACUCAUGCAAUGAAGACAAGGCUGACGGAUACACUGCAGACAUCGAAAGCCAGCAGGAGAAUUCUCCACCAGCCAGUCUACAAGGCAGAGGCCUGCAGAAGAUACGGUUACUAGGUGUUCUGAAUGCUUCCAGAGUGCAUUGCUACAGACAACAAAAGUGAGCAAUGGUUGAUUUCAGAAGCUUUCUAAGCAUGAUCACAAAGGGGCUGAAAGCCACCUGACAACUCUUCAGUCACAUGUUACAGA